rnacentral:lncRNA from 1 species
AGGAGCCUCCUGCUUCCCAGGUGAAGCUGCAGCCACCCAGCUGUGUGUGCGGACCCGGGCAUUUCUGUGCUCUUGGGGGCCAGGGACAGGCAGGGUCCCCGCCUCCUGGGGUGCAGCUACAGCCGCCCAAGCCAUGGCUACGGACCCAAGCAUCUCUGCACUCUCCGGGCCCGGGAAGCAGCCCCUUGCCCCAGCAGGCUCAGAAGUGCCUGCUCUCACUGCCUGGCCUCUCCCGGCGCCCUCUCCGAUCUCAGAGCAAAGUUGAGGCCAAGCCCAGAUAUUGAAGCUAUAAAGUUCUCUCUUAGCACUGCUUUGCUGUAUCUCACAGAUUUUGGUAGGCUGCAUUUCCAUGCUGAGGGAAUUCAUCACCACUAGACGGGACCUACAAGCAACACUCAAAGAGAAACUGCCUCAAAAAUGGCAAUAUCUUCUUUGUGCUUAAUGACCCUAACUUCAUGAAGACUUGGCAUAUAGGUUUCAUCCAUGUUGCAGCAUGUGUUAGAAUUUCACUUA